rnacentral:misc_RNA from 1 species
UCCCCAACACCCACCCCACCAGCCUCACCCGUUCCUGACCACAUUAUGGAGGGAGACUUCAGUCCUCAGCCAGACUAUAAAGAAGAUGACUUUGAGGAGAACAAUGUUCCGGAACAAGAGGAUGAAGAUCAGCCAUUGAUAAUAGCUGAACCGGAACAAGACCACUCCAAGAAAAACCACAUCAAAGAAAAUAACGUGUCGCCAGGCGAUGCGGAGAACCAGAUGUUGUACAACUCGUUGAAUUCACGGCAGAGAAGCAUCAACAACAGCAAAAAGGACUCGCUCAUCUGGACACACAACACACGUUUAAAACACUCGGUGUUCAAGGAGCUCAAGAAGCCAGGACGAAAUUACGAUAACUUGUUUCACCACUUGAAUUCAGUGCAAGGGAACGUGGAACUAAAGUGUGCGUUUGUUAGAGACGUGAUUCGUGAGGCGGGACGAUUCAAGAAAAAGGUGCUAAUCCAAAUGUUGGAACAGUUUCAAACCUCAUUAAUGCAAGUGGAGGGGAGAAAACGGAACAGCCUCCCCAUGGAAACCAGAUGAUAUUGAAUAAACUGUUCAAGAGAUGAUUAAAAAGCGAAAUAAUGAAUUAUGGCAGAUACUGUAUCCCUCAUUGAGAAUCGAGAGAUAUAUUUUUAAUCUUUUGUCAAAUCGAAUUAUAUUAAAUGGAUAUGUGACACCAAGAAAAAAUAAACUUACUGGCAUUAUUUCCAUGUUAAUCAAAUCAAGGAGGCGAUACAAUUCUCUAGCCAUGUCUUUGUGUUCAGAUAAUUUGUGUCAAAUAUGGGUUUUGACAAGCUGGGUCUGUGAUAUAUUGUGUGUAUCGUAUGUGUGUAUCGUGUUGAUACAUAUUGCAUCAUGUAAUUCAAGACUUUCAAAAAAUCAUGGGAUAAAAAAAGUUUUUAGGAUUGUUCUCUCUUAUUAAUCAAUAAAAAUUACACA